rnacentral:lncRNA from 1 species
CCUUUGCUGCCCUAGCUGAGACGUCCCCUCUGUGCCCACAGGCAGCGCUUGGCAUCCAUGCACCUUUGCUGCCCCAGCCGAGAAGCCCCUCUGUGCCCACACAUGGCUGGGCAACUAUCUGGGUGUUUUACUACCUUGGCCCUUUCCAUGAGUUACUGGAAAAGAAAAGGUGCUGGAGUUGGUGCUGAUACGCAGGGGUGGAAAGGCCAACCUGACAAGCAUCCCGCCUCCACCAACGCCUGCUGGACCUCAGCAGCUGGCCUCGUCCACUGUACAGAUGACCAAAAAGAUAAGUGUGAAGUGCUGAAAGCAGGGCAUUCAAGUUCAUGUCUGGAAGGCAGUGGGAGAGGUCACUGGAGAACAUGGUCAGCCACCAGCCCCAACAGGGACCCUGCUGGCCAGAGGGCAGAGUACGGACCUCCUGGGAGGUUUUUAAGAAGUCCCUAGAAGCACUGAGCUAGAGCACAAGAGCCCUUCUGCUCCCCUGCAGAACGGCCCCCGCCAGUCCUCAGGUCUGAGGCCAACUCUGCGUCACUGUGCCCGUGCCCAGGAGCUUGAGGAAGAGGCAACUCAAAUAAUCAUAUUCAUUUUAUAAGACGCACAGAGAAAACUCCAUCAUCAGGGACUCUGUGACACUUAAAGUCUCUGAACCCACCUACAACACACACUGUCCAAGACCUCAGGACAAAGUGCACUCCAGGGGGACGGCCAGCCUUGGGCCAUGCACAGGACACAACCAAGAGGGCUCCUUCCUGCCCAGCAGCCCGGGUGUCACAGAGUCUCGAGGCCCAGGGGAGACACUGGUGGCUGCAGGUGGCCCCUGUUCCCUGGACAGUCAGUGUGCAGCCCGCCUGCGCCUCGCCCAUGGCAGAGGCACUGCUCCUUCCCGCUCCACAGCUGCUGUGGGACCAACCCAUGUCCUUGGCAGUUUUUAGGUAAAUGCAAAACAGAGAACCAGAGUUGGUGCCACAGGCCUUUCUCGCCCUCGGUGGGCAACACCAUGUGUGAGGCAGCUGCACGGCAGACCUGGAGGCUCCCACACCCAGGCCUCGCCUGCACAAGGCUCGCCUCUGCAGACAGGGACCGUACGUGUCCCACAGCAGCACAGGGGGUCAAGCAUGCCAAGAGCAGAGCUGCAGGGCUGGCGGUGCCGAGAGUGGCCGCUCUCCCCUGUGGAACGCGAGCCGCGAUGGGCGAAGGGUGCCCACUGUGCCUCCGCACCACACUCAGGUAGGAGCCUGGGCUCAGGAAGAGUGAAGCCAAGACACGUCACAUAGGAGGCCAGACGAUCAGGUGGAGCUUUAUUCAGUUAUGCUACUUAAUCACCGCAUCCAGAAAGAACUGCACAGUCACCGUGGAGCGCACGUGCUGGGGCGGCUGAAGAGCAAGAGCUGGGCAGGUACAGGGCAGGGAUGUGCUCACCGUCCAUGUGUCAAUCCCCCGAAGGGAGCAGACCCUGCAGGAAGCAUGAGAGUUGCAACAGAAUGUUACCUUUGAAACUCCUUCCCUUCCCGAUUCCCCCUGCUGAAGGAGACAAGAAUGCAAAUGUCCAGAUGGAGUGCCAGACCUCAGGCCUUGGGCAUGACGCUGGGUGUGCCUGGGCAUCGUCUAAAACCAGAGCGAGGAGCAGGCACCACUGGGUUCCCACGUGCUAAGGAGAAGCACAGACGCACUUCUGGAGGACGCUGUUCCCGCUGCCCUCGUCACGUGCGUACUUAGCUUGAGAAGCACCACGGGCGGCUGAGCACUUACCUAGGCACUGUCUCUGCAGCAGGCCAGAGAUGCUGAUGGGCGGCCGGGGGGGCCGGGCCUGGGCAACACCGCCGAC